GAUGAAGAACGCAGCGAAAUGCGAUACUUGGUGUGAAUUGCAGAAUCCCGUGAACCAUCGAGUCUUUGAACGCAAGUUGCGCCCGAAGCCAUUAGGCCGAGGGCACGCCUGCCUGGGCGUCACACGUCGUUGCCCCCCCGUCUACUCCUUCGGGAUUGCGGGGGGCGGAUGAUGGCCUCCCGUGCGCCUCGUCGCGCGGUUGGCAUAAAUGCCAAGUCCUCGGCGACACACGCCACGACAAUCGGUGGUUGCGAAACCUCGGUUGCCCGUCGUGUGCGGUCGUCGCGCAUCGAGGGCUCGAAAAAAUUGCCGGGCUCCGGCUCGGCUUUCAACGCGACCCCAGGUCAGGCGGGGUUACCCGCUGAAUUUAAGCAUAUCAAUAAGCGGAGGA
rnacentral:misc_RNA from 1 species